CUACGUGCCAGCAGCCGCGGUAAUACGUAGGUCCCGAGCGUUGUCCGGAUUUAUUGGGCGUAAAGCGAGCGCAGGCGGUUAGAUAAGUCUGAAGUUAAAGGCUGUGGCUUAACCAUAGUACGCUUUGGAAACUGUUUAACUUGAGUGCAAGAGGGGAGAGUGGAAUUCCAUGUGUAGCGGUGAAAUGCGUAGAUAUAUGGAGGAACACCGGUGGCGAAAGCGGCUCUCUGGCUUGUAACUGACGCUGAGGCUCGAAAGCGUGGGGAGCAAACAGGAUUAGAUACCCUGGUAGUCCACGCCCUAAACGAUGUCGAUUAGCUGUUGGGCAGCUUGACUGCUUAGUAGCGAAGCUAACGCGUGAAAUCGACCGCCUGGGGAGUACGGUCGCAAGAUUAAAACUCAAAGGAAUUGACGGGGACCCGCACAAGCGGUGGAUGAUGUGGAUUAAUUCGAUGCAACGCGAAGAACCUUACCUGGUCUUGACAU
rnacentral:rRNA from 1 species